rnacentral:rRNA from 1 species
CCUACGGGAGGCAGCAGUGGGGAAUUUUGGACAAUGGGCGAAAGCCUGAUCCAGCAAUGCCGCGUGAGUGAAGAAGGCCUUCGGGUUGUAAAGCUCUUUUGUCAGGGAAGAAACGGUGAGAGCUAAUAUCUCUUGCUAAUGACGGUACCCGAAGAAUAAGCACCGGCUAACUACGUGCCAGCAGCCGCGGUAAUACGUAGGGUGCAAGCGUUAAUCGGAAUUACUGGGCGUAAAGCGUGCGCAGGCGGUUUUGUAAGUCUGUCGUGAAAUCCCCGGGCUCAACCUGGGAAUUGCGAUGGAGACUGCAAGGCUAGAAUCUGGCAGAGGGGGGUAGAAUUCCACGUGUAGCAGUGAGAUGCGUAGAGAUGUGGAGGAACACCGAUGGCGAAGGCAGCCCCCUGGGUCAAGAUUGACGCUCAUGCACGAAAGCGUGGGGAGCAAACAGGAUUAGAUACCCUGGUAGUCCACGCCCUAAACGAUGUCUACUGUUGUUACGGUUUUAAUUACGUUGGUAACGNAGCUACGCGUGAAGUAGACCGCGUGGGAGUACGGCGCGAAGAUUAAACGUACAAAGUGAGUUGACGGCGUGAGACGNGCGACGGACGACGACGAGGGAGGAGG